rnacentral:lncRNA from 1 species
AUAGUGUGUUUUCAAUUAAAAGAUUACAUAAUCAUUUAGUAAAACUAUCAGACAUUAAAGUUAGAAAACGAAGGAAUGUACUUGGUUACAAAGUCUUACAACACUCUACCCGCUUAUAUUCAGCUUGCNCUUAAUAUGUCAAAAGUAAUGUUAGGUAAUUACUAUUUAGUGUAAAUAUUUUAAUAAGAGAUAAAUCUUAUGAACCAGUUAAUAUAUUAUAUUAUUAUAUUAGUCAAUCAAAAGGUGCUACUAAUUAUACUUUUAUAGCAGCUGCGGAAAUAUUGAAAAAGAUUCGUAAAAUCUGUUAUUGCACCAACAUCUAAGAAUUUGCAUGAUUUAAAUGAUUUUUAUAAUUAGAAAAUAAUAAAUAUUUCAUUAUGAAAUUUCAAAACUGGAAGAUUCUAUCAAGGACUACUNAUGGUUGAUGGCACAAUUGUCAUUAUAUUAUUUUGCAAUAUUAAAUAUAUUCAGCACGUCAUAAAUGAAGAACAAAAAUAUAAGAAUACUCAGUGUUGUGAUGAUACUUUUAAGAUGGUUUCAAAAAAGAUUGAUGAGGAUUGUCAUCAAUUUUUUACAUUUCAUGUAAUAUAUUAUAAUGUUGAGCUAUUUCAAUACGAUUGUCAUGUCAUUGUCAACCCUACAAUAUGAUAAAUCAGCAAUUAAAACUGAUUAUAAGAUUAGCUGGAUUAAUAGUAUUGCAUUAAAUUCCUGAAAGUACCCACCAAGGUUGCAAUUUUCAUUAUUGCCAAGUACAUUUUUUCUUACACUAUGCAAGAUCUACACUAAAUUUGAAUACAAAAUUAUCAUGCAUAAGUGUAUUCUGUGUGGUAAGACAUCUAAAGUAUCACCACACCCAAUAUUUCAUUUGCAAGUAUUUUUUUUAUAGUUACAAUGAUAAUAUUUUUUUAUAAUAUGUAAAAUGUAUUAUUAAUAAAUUAUGUAGAUUUUCAAAAAAAAUUAAAAUAGAAGGAAGGAAUGGCUAAAAAGCAUCAAAUUAGAUGAUUAUCCAAUUUCCAACUGGCCCAGAAUUUGUAGUAAUCAUUUCAUAAUUAGUGAUUAUAGAUAUGGCUCAGCAAAUAAGCAAAUAUUAUGGCCAGAAACUGUCCAAACAUUUAACCUCAACAACUUAUUAGGGACAGAAAACAGCACUGGUAAAACUCUGAGCACAACUAAUGUAUCUUCUAAGAGGGCAUUUUUUAUUGUUUUUAAGGUCAUCAACUUCUGAGCCCUAGUUAUCAACAAUACGUCAACGCCGAACACCAGUACAUCACCCAAUAUCAUGUUCCAAAACAGCCGAUUACAGGCUUGAUAAGGCCUGCCUAUAAUACACGAUUACUACUAAAGAUAGUAUUAAUCGUGCUAUAAUAAAUAAUAUUAUACUUAAUAAGUAGCUAAUAUUAUUGUACAUACUAUAUUAAUAUUAUGUACUGCAGUCUGCAAUGUAACUUUGAUAUCAAGUUACAGGAAAAUGAGUAACUAGUUACAAGUUACAAGUUACAAAAUAACCGGGUUACGUAAAACUUUGAUACAUGUAACUGAUUACUGCCCAUCCAUGCCUAUGAUGCGCUAGAAGAAAAUGAAAAGACAAAUAAUAGAUUUGGGGACCUUACAGUUGAUUAAUUAAUUCACCUAAAAAAGCCUUAAAAUACUAUAAUUUUGUUCAAAAAAACAAUUGACAAUUUAUGGUAUAAAUAUAAAUUGAUUUGUCAAAAAAAUGAUUGACUAUAGGAAAAAAGGUCAACACUUAUAGACUUGUUGAAAGAUUUAAAUGAAAGGACCAUGUUAUAUGAGUAGGCAAUUGAUAAUCUGGAGGUAUGAAAAUUAAGUACAUUACAAUCAGUUUAAAAAAAAAAAAUUAAAUAAUAAAAUGUUAUCAUAAUACACCUAAUAACUUUUUAUAUUUUCAUAUAGUAGCGAUUUACAAAAAUCACACGAGGCUUUAAACUCUGUCUUGUGCUUCUUCUUGAGUCGGUUUCUCCAACUUCUUCAACAAGGAUUCAUAUUAUUAUCACCUUAUACAUCUACAACGUCAAUAAUAUUAGGUUGAUUCUUUGUGUAACAACAUUUUUGUUUUGUUUAUUAUUUCAUUUAGCGUACAUGUCUUAAUCAAUUAAAAUUUUUAAAUAGUGUAAGACCGUGUCUCUCUUUCUAUUUUGUCGUGUCAAUUAUUAAACUAUUAUUGUUAUAA